CCAUGCGGAAUUGUAAGGCAGAUAGAUAUCCAAUCCUGUCUCCUGACAUGUGAAGACCAGCUUCCCACUGAGCUGUCAUUGUGAGCUGAGGAUAACAAAUCCAGGCUGGGACAGAUGGCAGAUUCAAUUGUCCUGGAAUUCUCUGCUGUCUGUGGAUCAGUGGGCUGCAUCUCUGACCUCAGACCCAGCUGCCACAGCCCCUAGACUAUCCAACAGGGUGACAACACCUUCCCUGGGUGGGAAUCUCAGAGUCGAACCUGAAGUCCAAGACUAACAAAUACCAGUACCCUGUAUCUCCAAGCUCUGCAGGAAAUAUACUUAAGCUACCUUACAUCUUUUAUGAAAUAAAGUAGACCACAAAUAAAUGCUACAUAUGGAAAAGGCAAAAACAAAAUAA